UUUUUUCACACAUUUUUUUCACUUUUUGCACACACACACAGAAUUUUGUCUUAGCUUUUGCUCUACUCAGCAUAGAUAACAAGGUUAAAAGAGCUCCCUAUCUCAUAACCCCAUUGAUUUACCACCCCUUUAAACCUAAAUUGAAUCACUUACAGUGUGCUACCUUCACUUAGGAAGUUCUUUUCUUGAAUUGAAUCUCUAAAUUUGUUGUGGUCAAGGGAAAUAAAAAUAUAAAUGUAUGCAAAUAAAAAGUUAGUGUAACCCCUUAUGAGCUGAUUUGCCCAAACUAUUAUGAAAAGAAAAGAAAAAGAAAAACCAGCACAAAAGCACAAAUCAUAAAACCUGUUCCUAUGGCCAAAUAAGCUACGAACAGAGCUAGUAGCCACUUGAACAAGUGACUAACUGAGUAACCGGGGGUGGGUAUCAUCAAUAUGCACCUUCGCGUAAAAAGGUUAGUGACUUUUUCAGGCAAGAACAAAAAGUGCUGCUGAAUAAAAUAAAAUAAAAUGCUCAAGGAAGGGCAAGUCACUCUUAGAGGUUGCAUUGAGCUUAUACAAAGAGAAUAAGCAUGAUUGAAUCAAAAACCUUUCUUUUGACCAUAGUAGGUGAGGGGAAACAAGGAAAAGAGAGAACAAUCUUGGUGCAUGUACUCUAUACUGUAAUACUUCAAUCUAGGAGUCUAGGGGGGCUGAUUAAGUGGCACUUAGGCUCAAAAGAAAAAGGAGCUUGAUUGACUAAGUUAUUUGUUGCUUGAGGACAAGCAAAAAGCUAGGUGUGGGGGUAUUUGAUCAAGCAUAAUUUAGCCACAUUUUUAGUAUAUUUAUUACUGUUUAAUUACACAUUUUUCUAGC
rnacentral:lncRNA from 1 species